rnacentral:rRNA from 1 species
GGCUAACGCUGGCGGCGUGUCUUAGCCAUGCAAGUCGAGCGGACUUAUGGGGUAACUUAUAAGUCAGCGGCGGACGGCGGAGUAACACGUAGCUAACCUACCCUCUGGACGGGGAUAACCUACCGAAAGGUGGGCUAAUACCCGAUGUAGUCAUCCUGUAUAGGGGUGAUGAAAGGUGGGCUUCUGUUCACAAGCUCAUGCUGGAGGAGGGGCUGCGGCCUAUCAGGUAGUUGGUAGGGUAAUAGCCUACCAAGCCGAUGACGGGUAGCCGGCCUGAGAGGGUGACCGGCCCGAGGGGCACUGAGAUACGGGUCCCACUCCUACGGGAGGCAGCAGGCUAGAAAUUUGGGCAAUGGGGGAAACCCUGACCCAGUGACGCCGCGUGCAGGAAGGAGCCCUUCGGGGUGUAAACUGCUGUCGUGUAGGGAGAAGGGUACUAAGGUGAACAAUCUUAGUACUUGACGGUACUACAGGAGGAAGCCCAGGCUAACCUCGUG